rnacentral:rRNA from 1 species
AAUAGAUACCCAGGUAGUCCACGCUGUAAACGUUGGGCGCUAGGUGUGGGGGACCUCUCCGGUUCUCUGUGCCGCAGCUAACGCAUUAAGCGCCCCGCCUGGGGAGUACGGCCGCAAGGCUAAAACUCAAAGGAAUUGACGGGGGCCCGCACAAGCGGCGGAGCAUGCGGAUUAAUUCGAUGCAACGCGAAGAACCUUACCUGGGUUUGACAUCACUCGAAAACUCGUAGAGAUACGGGGUCCUUCGGGGCGGGUGACAGGUGGUGCAUGGCUGUCGCCAGCUCGUGUCGUGAGAUGUUGGGUUAAGUCCCGCAACGAGCGCAACCCUCGUUCGAUGUUGCCAGCGUGUUAUGGCGGGGACUCAUCGAAGACUGCCGGGGUCAACUCGGAGGAAGGUGGGGAUGACGUCAAGUCAUCAUGCCCCUUAUGUCCAGGGCUUCACGCAUGCUACAAUGGCCGGUACAAAGGGUUGCGAUGCCGUGAGGUGGAGCGAAUCCCAAAAAGCCGGUCUCAGUUCGGAUCGGGGUCUGCAACUCGACCCCGUG